rnacentral:rRNA from 1 species
UAUGCUUAACACAUGCAAGUCGAACGGUAGCAGGCUUUCGGGUGCUGACGAGUGGCGGACGGGUGCGUAACGCGUAGGAAUCUGCCUAUUAGUGGGGGAUAACUUAGGGAAACUUAAGCUAAUACCGCAUACGCCCUGAGGGGGAAAGGAGGGGCUCGCAAGACCUUUCGCUAAUAGAUGAGCCUGCGUAGGAUUAGCUAGUUGGUAGGGUAAAGGCCUACCAAGGCGACGAUCCUUAGCUGGUCUGAGAGGAUGAUCAGCCACACUGGGACUGAGACACGGCCCAGACUCCUACGGGAGGCAGCAGUGGGGAAUAUUGGACAAUGGGCGAAAGCCUGAUCCAGCAAUACCGCGUGUGUGAAGAAGGCCUUAGGGUUGUAAAGCACUUUCAAUUGGAAGGAAAACCUGAGUGCUAAUACUACUCAGCUUGACAUUACCUUUAGAAGAAGCACCGGCUAACUCCGUGCCAGCAGCCGCGGUAAUACGGAGGGUGCGAGCGUUAAUCGGAAUUACUGGGCGUAAAGCGUGCGUAGGCGGCUUGUUAAGCCAGAUGUGAAAGCCCUGGGCUCAACCUGGGAACUGCAUUUGGAACUGGGAAGCUAGAGUUUGGAAGAGGAGAGUGGAAUUUCAGGUGUAGCGGUGAAAUGCGUAGAGAUCUGAAGGAACACCAGUGG